UACAGAGGUCUCAAGCGUUGUUCGGAUUCAUUGGGCGUAAAGGGUGCGUAGGCGGGCUUUUAAGUCAGUGGUGAAAGCUUCGAGCUUAACUCGAAAAUUGCCAUUGAUACUAUUAGUCUUGAAUUCAGUUGAGGUCGGCGGAAUGUGUCGUGUAGAGGUGAAAUUCUUAGAUAUGACACAGAACACCAAUUGCGAAGGCAGCUGGCUAAUCUGACAUUGACGCUGAGGCACGAAAGCGUGGGGAUCAAACAGG
rnacentral:rRNA from 1 species